GAUGAAGAACGCAGCGAAAUGCGAUAAGUAGUGUGAAUUGCAGAAUUCAGUGAAUCAUCGAAUCUUUGAACGCACAUUGCGCCCCUUGGUAUUCCAUGGGGCAUGCCUGUUCGAGCGUCAUUUGUACCCUCAAGCUUUGCUUGGUGUUGGGCGUCUUGUCGUAUUACGACUCGCCUUAAAUACAUUGGCAGCCGGCACUUUGGCCUAGGAGCGCAGCACAUUUUGCGAUCGUAGCCCGUUGUACUGGCGUCCAUCAAGAACAUUUACCACGUUUGACCUCGGAUCAGGUAGGGAUACCCGCUGAACUUAAGCAUAUCAAUAAGGGAGGA
rnacentral:misc_RNA from 1 species